rnacentral:rRNA from 1 species
GGGAAUAUUGCACAAUGGGGGAAACCCUGAUGCAGCGACGCCGCGUGAGUGAAGAAGUAUUUCGGUAUGUAAAGCUCUAUCAGCAGGGAAGAUAAUGACGGUACAUGACUAAGAAGCCCCGGCUAACUACGUGCCAGCAGCCGCGGUAAUACGUAGGGGGCAAGCGUUAUCCGGAUUUACUGGGUGUAAAGGGAGCGUAGGUGGCAGGGCAAGUCAGAUGUGAAAACCCGGGGCUCAACCCCGGGAGUGCAUUUGAAACUGUCCAGCUGGAGUGCAGGAGAGGUAAGCGGAAUUCCUAGUGUAGCGGUGAAAUGCAUAGAUAUUAGGAGGAACACCAGUGGCGAAGGCGGCUCUCUGGUCUGUAACUGACGCUGAGGUUCGAAAGCGUGGGUAGCAAACAGG